AUUGAACGCUGGCGGCAUGCUUUACACAUGCAAGUCGAACGGCAGCACGGACUUCGGUCUGGUGGCGAGUGGCGAACGGGUGAGUAAUACAUCGGAACGUACCCAGUAAUGGGGGAUAACUAUCCGAAAGGAUAGCUAAUACCGCAUACGCCCUACGGGGGAAAGAGGGGGAUCGCAAGACCUCUUGUUAUUGGAGCGGCCGGUGGCGGAUUAGCUAGUUGGUGAGGUAAAGGCUCACCAAGGCGACGAUCAGUAGCGGGUCUUAGAGGACGAUCCGCCACACUGGAACUGAGACACGGUCCAGACUCCUACGGGAGGCAGCAGUGGGGAAUCUUGGACAAGGGGCGCAAGCCUGAUCCAGCAAUGCCGCGUGCGUGAAGAAGGCCUUCGGGUUGUAAAGCGCUUUUGUCAGGGAGCAAAUCCUUGUGGCUAAUACCCACCGGGGAUGAGAGUACCUGAAGAAUAAGGACCGGCUAACUACGUGCCAGCCGCCGCCGUAA
rnacentral:rRNA from 1 species